AAUUAAUGAGCUUGUUAAGCAUAUAUUUUGAAAAUAUAAGAAAGAAUAAAUUAUUCUAUUAAUUU
rnacentral:tRNA from 1 species